UACGGAGGGUGCAAGCAUUAAUCGGAGUUAUUGGGCGUAAAGGGCGCGUAGGCGGACUCAAAAGUCAGAUGUGAAAUUCCGAAGCUCAACUUCGGAGCUGCAUUUGAAACUGAGAGUCUAAAGAGGGAAGGCGGAGGAAAUGGAAUUCCACGUGUAGCGGUGAAAUGCGUAGAUAUGUGGAAGAACACCUGUGGCGAAAGCGGUUUUCUAGCUUUUACCUGACGCUGAGGCGCGAGAGCAAGGGGAGCAAACAGG
rnacentral:rRNA from 2 species